GAUGAACGCUGGCGGCGUGCCUAAUACAUGCAAGUCGAGCGAACGGACGAGAAGCUUGCUUCUCUGAUGUUAGCGGCGGACGGGUGAGUAACACGUGGAUAACCUACCUAUAAGACUGGGAUAACUUCGGGAAACCGUAGCUAAUACCGGAUAAUAUUUUGAACCGCAUGGUUCAAAAGUGAAAGACGGUCUUGCUGCCACUUAUAGAUGGAUCCGCGCUGCAUUAGCUAGUUGGUAAGGUAACGGCUUACCAAGGCAACGAUGCAUAGCCGACCUGAGAGGGUGAUCGGCCACACUGGAACUGAGACACGGUCCAGACUCCUACGGGAGACAGCAGUAGGGAAUCUUCCGCAAUGGGCGAAAGCCUGACGGAGCAACGCCGCGUGAGUGAUGAAGGUCUUCGGAUCGUAAAACUCUGUUAUUAGGGAAGAACAUAUGUGUAAGUAACUGUGCACAUCUUGACGGUACCUAAUCAGAAAGCCACGGCUAACUACGUG
rnacentral:rRNA from 1 species